AAACUUUUUUAAAAUCCCUUGUAAAUCUUUUAAAACCCUUUUAAAAUCCCUUGUAAAUCUAUGAGUUUUAAAGUUUACAAGGAUUUUUAAAAGCAUUUUUUUGGCGGAGAAAAAAUUUGUUACGAAAAAAGUUUUUGGCAGGAAAUUUCUUUUUUUGACGGGAUUUUUUUUUUUUGUCGGGAAAAAAGUUUGGCGGAAUUUGUUUUUGGCGGGAAAAUUAAACUUGGCGGGAAAAGUUUCAGUUUCCAAUUACAUGUUCCUAUUAGAUAAGGGUAAUUUGGUCAUUCUGUUCAAAGGAAGGGGUGUUUUUAAAAAUGAACAACAUAAAAAGGUAUUAUUGCAAAAAGGUAAUAAAUAAAGGGUAGUUUUGCAAAUCUCCCUUAUUAAUUAUAGGGUUUAUUGUACCUUUUAUAAAAAGGUGAGGGUUUAAAAAUCCACAAAAAAGUUGAGAGUUUUUAAUAUGUUUUUAGGGAAAAAUCCCAAUUAAAACCCAAACUAGUUUAUUACCCAAUACUUUUAGAUUGGAAUAAAAAUACCUCAUCUAAUAAAGUAUUGCCAAAUAAAACCCAAUCUUUUAAUUAUUACCCAAUACUUUAGGAUUUUUUCCCUAUAUU
rnacentral:sRNA from 1 species